ACGUUGGUCGUUCAGGGGUAGAAUGUUUGCUUAUCACGCGGACGACCAAGGUUCGAUGCCUGGCCAAUGCA